UACAAACAUGGAGGAAUGGCCACGUUGGA
rnacentral:piRNA from 1 species